AAUUCGAUUAGAGUUUGAUCAUGGCUCAGAAUCAACGCUGGCGGCGUGCCUCAGACAUGCAAGUCGAACGCGAAAGUCCCCUUCGGGGGACAAGUAGAGUGGCGCACGGGUGAGUAACACGUAGGUAAUCUACCUUCGGAUGGGGAAUGACAAUCGGAAACGGUUGCUAAUACCGCAUAAUGCAGCGGCACCUAAUGGUGACAGUUGUUAAAGCGGGGGAUCGAAAGACCUCGCGUCUGAAGAGGAGCCUGCGGCGGAUUAGCUAGUUGGUAAGGUAAUGGCUUACCAAGGCUACGAUCCGUAACCGGCCUGAGAGGGCGGUCGGUCACACUGACACUGACAUACGGGUCAGACUCCUACGGGAGGCAGCAGUCGGGAAUUUUGGGCAAUGGGCGAAAGCCUGACCCAAAAGCGCCGCG
rnacentral:rRNA from 1 species